UACGGAGGAUCCAAGCGUUAUCCGGAUUUAUUGGGUUUAAAGGGUGCGUAGGCGGCUUAUUAAGUCAGGGGUGAAAGACGGUGGCUCAACCAUCGCAGUGCCCUUGAUACUGAUGAGCUUGAAUACACUAGAGGUAGGCGGAAUGUGACAAGUAGCGGUGAAAUGCAUAGAUAUGUCACAGAACACCGAUUGCGAAGGCAGCUUACUAUGGUGUGAUUGACGCUGAGGCACGAAAGCGUGGGGAGCGAACAGG
rnacentral:rRNA from 1 species